GAAGGGGGCUAGCGUUGCUCGGAAUUACUGGGCGUAAAGGGCGCGUAGGCGGACAUUUAAGUCAGAGGUGAAAGCCCAGGGCUCAACCUUGGAAUUGCCUUUGAUACUGGAUGUCUUGAGUUCGGGAGAGGUGAGUGGAAUGCCGAGUGUAGAGGUGAAAUUCGUAGAUAUUCGGCGGAACACCAGUGGCGAAGGCGACUCACUGGCCCGAUACUGACGCUGAGGCGCGAAAGCGUGGGGAGCAAACAGGAUUAGAUACCCUGGUAGUCCACGCCGUAAACGAUGAGUGCUAGUUGUCGGCAUGCAUGCAUGUCGGUGACGCAGCUAACGCAUUAAGCACUCCGCCUGGGGAGUACGGUCGCAAGAUUAAA
rnacentral:rRNA from 1 species